rnacentral:misc_RNA from 1 species
GAUGAAGAACGUAGCGAAAUGCGAUAAGUAAUGUGAAUUGCAGAAUUCAGUGAAUCAUCGAAUCUUUGAACGCACAUUGCGCCCGCUAGUAUUCUGGCGGGCAUGCCUGUUCGAGCGUCAUUUCAACCAUCAAGCCCAGGCUUGUGUUGGGGGCCUGCAGCUGCUGCAGCCCCCUAAAAGCAGUGGCGGACUCGCUGUCAUACCGAGCGCAGUAGUUACAUCUCGCUCUGGGCAUGGCGGCGGGCACCUGCCGUAAAACACUCUUUCUAAGGUUGACCUCGGAUCAGGUAGGAAUACCCGCUGAACUUAAGCAUAUCAAUAAGCGGAGGA